AUAAAAUACGGUGAACUAGCCGUACUUACUUAUUUGGUAUUUCUUCACAGAGCUAGACAUAGAGUAUCGUCUAAAUGCAGAAGAAUACCAAACACCAGGCAGCGUCUGCAUUUAAAAUACUCUUCUGGCUCUUCUAAACAACACUUGAAUAGACGCGCGUAGGCAAAUGAUUUAAAGUUUUGCCGAUUUGGGUGAAUUCUCGAAACUCUCAAAAAGUUGAUACAGGCUUCUGCUUUCGUGUCCCUUCUUGCAACUUACUACGAACCGGGUACAUCUAACCGAAAAAAAGGUAACAUAGGACAGUGGAGUAUCGGUUGGGGAUCAACCUCAACAUGCCCCAGUUACUCGCCCUUGCCAACUUAACUUCAGCUGGUUCCGCUUUUUACAAGCAAAAUCGCGGACGUACACAUCACAACUAACCAUAUAUACGCUGAAAGAACACGCGUUGAAGAAGAUACGGGCUUUGUGUCUGUGUGUGUCCUCUUUGCUAAAUAUAGGCAGCACAGACGGUGGUUUUGAGGCAAAGCGACUGGCUUGCGGGAUGCAACUAAGCAAGACGAAAUCAAGCAUGUCGCACCACAAAUACGCAUACAGAAGAAGAAGUCGCGAAGCGGUGAGGUGGGGUAAAGAACGGCAUGGCAUAUGGCCUUGUCGGCAAACCCUGCCGCCCCACCAGCGUCAAUCGUGCAUGCUAUCUAUCUGUGAGCCCCAACGGAGUUUGACUCUUGAAAGAGCUCGCUGGUAUAUUGCAGUAGAGAGCAAGACGAAAUAAGAGGACACACUUUGCGGUACAAACUAAAGUUUAGAUGGCGAGACGAGACAAGCGAAUGCUUUCGUAACAAUUUGUCCGAAAGCAAAUAGAGUCUAUUUCGAGCUGUCAAGAAGUGCGUAAAGGAAAGCGAUGGAGGGGGCCCGCUCUUCUGCGCAAGUGAAAGGGAAAAAGCGAACGAGCCAAGCGAGGGAGCAGGCAGUCAGGCAACAAACCGGGAAGUCCCCCAACAUAAACAAGUGUUUGAAAAUCGUACAUCAAAGAGGUAAACUGUUUGGCCAGCGCAAGCCGGCUGAUGCAGGAAAUGUCUGCCGGUACUGAUUAUAUGU